AUACGUAGGGUGCAAGCGUUAAUCGGAAUUACUGGGCGUAAAGCGUGCGCAGGCGGUUUUGUAAGACAGAGGUGAAAUCCCCGGGCUCAACCUGGGAACUGCCUUUGUGACUGCAAGGCUAGAGUACGGCAGAGGGGGAUGGAAUUCCGCGUGUAGCAGUGAAAUGCGUAGAUAUGCGGAGGAACACCGAUGGCGAAGGCAAUCCCCGGGGCCUGCACUGACGCUCAUGCACGAAAGCGCGGGGAGCAAACAGGAUUAGAUACCCUGGUAGUCCACGCCCUAAACGAUGUCAACUGGUUGUUGGGGAUUUAUUUUCUCAGUAACGAAGCUAACGCGUGAAGUUGACCGCCUGGGGAGUACGGCCGCAAGGUUAAAACUCAAAGGAAUUGACGGGU
rnacentral:rRNA from 1 species